GGCAUCUCUGUCUAGAGUGGGCUUGGAUUGAUAUGCUGAGCAGGACUGCUGAUUAGAUACUUCAGGGGCCGGGCAGUGCUGGGUCCUCCCCUCAGAGCUUCUCAACCAUGUUUGGGAUGGUCUAGGGAUGAAACUGCUGGACAGCUGAGCCAUGGAGACUGGGGAGAGGCCUGCCUGGCUGAGACCAAGCCCUGCUGUACCAUCUGCAUUUGACAGUGAGGAUGCCCAUUGACAGGAAGCAGACGUAGAGAAAAGGAGAAUCAGAAUGAUCGACAGGCUUCAAAUCCUACCUCUAACACUUAACUACGUUCCGCACGUUUGGUCUCGGGCAGGCCAGUUAACUCAUCAAGACCCCAUUUUCACCCCCCUGAAAAGUGGCAUAGUAACUCAGUUCUAUUGAGUUACUGAGGACUGGCCCACAAAGAGACAAGCAAUGUAAGUCAGACGCAAGACAGACUGAACCUGCUCUGUCACCAUUCGAUACUUUUAGAGGUGGGAUUAGCUUUCUGUUUGGAAAAAUUGGGUCACUACCAUUCAUUCCUCCAUUCAACAAUGUUCUAUUGAUUAUGAAGCAGAGUUCAGUGGUAACUAGCACACAACAGGAUUUAUCCUCAGUGGUAAUUGUGGAAGUCAGAGACGUGGAACAUCCUUGGAAGGGAGAGGUGGUUUCACUGGGUUAUUUAGAAAUGGGCCAGAAAGCAUCUAAAUGGAGUUUCACAGAUAGCCUUUUUUGAAAUAUCAUUUAAGUUUUUGUUUUAUUUAUUUUUUUUUUUGGCAUCAUUGAAAUAUAUUCAUAUAGGCCAGGAUAAGCCCCCCUACAAAAUGGGUAACAGAAGAUGACCUUGAACUCCUGACAUCCCAAUUUCUACCUCCUGAGCGCUGAGACUGUAGGUGGCCUAAUUGUUUCUAAAGUAGAAUGGAUCUGAAGUUCCUGAACUUGCGUGCAAGCGUUUGACAGAGGCUGAUGAGAGAUUCCUGUCACUGUGUGUGUGCCGAAGUUCUCUGGAACUGGGACCGGUGAUAUUGAUCUGACCCUCUGCAGUGUUCCGAGGGCUUGCUUACCCACUCCAAGUCUGUGAGUCCUAAUGAAGCAGAGCUAAGUCCGCUGAAGACCACCUUUGGGAGAUCCUGGAGUGGCUGCUCCCUGAAGAGAGUCCUGGUCCUAGGAAUCUGGGAUUCUACCUGAAGUCCCAAAGAUGAACAAAUGGUAGAGAGGCACCUGACUGAGCCUGCUUCCUAACCGACUUCUCAGAACUGCCUGCCGCUGGGCUGCCUAACAGAAGCUCAAGUUCUGGGAUUCCACCCUUGAAGAGAACUGAAUCUGCACUUAACUUAGUGCGCCCUGUAGGUCAGGACAUGUAGUUCUUGCUACCCUGAAGCUCACUAUGUACGACAGACUGGCCCCAACACACUGAGAUCUGCGUGGUUCUGUCUCCCCGGUGCUGAGAUCAAAGGCACGUGUAUAGUUAGGGCACAGGACUUUUACUUAUAUGUUAUGGCUCUAGGUUUGUUUUCAUGGGAUUCCUGAUUGUGCCAGCAAUUGGGUCUCUGUGUCUACAUCUGUUUCUUUUGCCUUUUCUUUGACUCCCUCUCUUUUGUUUGUUUCGUUUGCCCUAUUCUGAUGUGUUAGUUUUUGUUUUAUCUUAUUAUAUUUUAUUAUUAUUCAUCAAGUGCCCUUCUGUUUUCUGAAGAGAAACAGAAAGGUGGUGAAUUUGCAUGGGGUGGGAGGCAUAGGAGAACUGGGAGGAGUAAAGAGAGAAGAGAUCAUAAUCAGGAUAUAUUGUAUGAAAAAAAAAACCAGACUAUUUUCAAUAAAACUACAACAAAAAAUGAAGAACAAAAAUAAUCCCACAAGAAGGAAGAGUAACCUUGAACUUAUGGUUCUCUCUGCUUAAGCUUCAUGAGUGUUGGUAGUGUGGGAUUGCACCAUGAGGAAGAUACUGUGGUGGGAUAGAACAGAUUGUGACAGAAAACUAAAAAGUCUCAACCAGAAGAAUUAGAAAGAAAGCAAGAAAGCAAGGAAGGAAGGAAGGAAAGAAGGAAGGAAGGAAGGAUGGGAAAAAGAAAGAAAGAAAGAGAGAGAGAGAGAGAGAGAGAGAGGGAGGGAGGGAGGGAGGGAGGGAGGGAGGGAGGGAGGGAGGGAGGGAGGGAGGAGGAAAGAAAGAAAGAAAGAAACUUAGAGAACAGAAUGCUUGCCUGUGAUCCCAGCACUUGGAAAUCUAAGGCAGGUGGAUCAAGAGUUUGAGCCUAAUCUGGAUUACAUAGGGAGAACCUGUUUCUAAAUGAAACUAAACCAACCUUUUAAUGUAUUCUGCAUUUAAAGCAUUGAUGGGUAUUAGCAAAAGGGCUACCUACCCUUUGCUGUUCUUUGGUAGAGGGGAAUCUUAGGUAAACUGUGCUCAUGACUAACCUAUGAGGCAGAAAGCUGUACACCAUACAAUAGAUACCUUCUAGAUAUAUCCAAAUCAAAGACCUAAAUCUUACAUUCUAAACCAUUGUUCUAUGGUUUAUGUAGUCUUUUGUUCGUUUGCUUUGAUCUAUUUGUAAAUUAACCCUUAUUCUGACUAAAUGUAAAAAGUUAACCGUUAUAUCUGCCUGUUUUCUCUCAUGGGACAUAUACACGGAACCUGAGAGACUCAGGGUGGUGAAAGGUUUAUUGGUUCUGCUUCCUGUGUUCCACCAUGCUGUGACAAGGAAAACAAAAAAGUUAAAAAAAUAAAAUUAAGGUUGGCCUUGAAUGAAUAGGUGUUGUUUCUUUCCAGAGAUGUUUAUGUGUGCGUGGAAAGUCUGGAUAAUAUUUCACAAUCACCAGUUUGGGCCUGAGUAUAAUACAACUUCAUUGACAUGCUAGGCAAACAAAAUACCCUACUUU
rnacentral:lncRNA from 1 species